rnacentral:piRNA from 1 species
UUUUCAUCGUAAAACAGCAUU